AUUUGAGUCUUGGGUGCUUGUGACUUUACAAAGGAUUCCAUGGUGACUCAGUGGCUGAUGAGGGACCAGAUCUCUGAAAUCCAUGCACUUGCACUGGGAAGCCUCAAGUUUCCAGGCCAUCACUUGCAUUAACAUGAAGAUGAAUACCUUCUUCCCAGUUACUGGC
rnacentral:lncRNA from 1 species